rnacentral:tRNA from 1 species
GCUUGGGUGGCUCAGUCAGUUGAGCGUCUGACUUCCACUCGGGUCAUGACCUUGUGGUUCAUGGGUUUGAACCCCGUCUCGGGCU